GUCUACAUCCUCUUAUUAAUUUAGAAAAACUCUAUUGUCAGGCCUCCUCUACAGUAUUAUACAGUGACAUUAUAUAUAGGAAUGAGCGAAUUUCAUAUUUGGAAAUUCGUUUUCGGUUCGGGCUGUGGUAUAAUGUGAAUUGCGUUAUGGAUUCCGUUACCACCGACCAUAACGCAAUUACAUGAUGGAAUGCAUAACGGAAUGUGGACAUUAUAUACAUUACAAACAGUGACAUGGCGCACAGUUAGUGUUGGGUAAAGCGAGCGUUGGAUGCUUCAUCCGAAGUCGCUUUGUUCAAAACUUCGGAAUCCGUCUCAGUACAGUAUAAGAAUGUAUGGGCUCCGAUGAGUUAGCUAUUUGUGAAGUCGCGCAUAGCUUCGUUGAAUAACUUCAGUAGUUGAUUUUGAAACCGAACUCGGCUUCUGUUCCGAGAUACUAGUCGUUCGGAUUCAGGUUUUAAAGUGGUUUUUCCACUUUAAAAAGCAACUACCAAAGUUAUUCAAGUCAUGCGCAACUUCGCUCAACACUACACACAGUAUACACGUGUAGGAGAUGGAUGGAUUGGCUGACGGGUCUCGUCUGAGACUAGCCACAGGAGUGGGGGUUGCACAGGAGGAAUGGGGUUGCAUUCAAAAAUUUGCUGUGGGGCCUAGUUAUUUGUAGUUAUGCCACAGAUAGAUAGAUAGAUAGAUAGAUAGAUACUCACCUGCUCUCUUCCGCUUGGUUCCAGUUUCCUGCUGUCUUCAUUGCACUUCCAGUUCCCGUCUGUCAACUUCUUGACACAAUGUGUGCUAUUGAACAAAUCAUCGGGACCAGGUGAGUAAGGAUUUCUCCACAGGUCACAUUGGCUGAGGGGAGUGGUGGGGUGGUGGGGAUCGAUGUAAAAAAACAACAACAACCUGGACAACCCCUUUGAGGUAGGGAUUUGGCACUUUAACAUCAAUGGUUUCCUUAGAAUGACAUUAUAGACCUCCGUUGGUUUUCUCCCAGUGAUAUGUGGCUCAUACUCUGUGGUUUGUGGUGUCUUCUCUGAAUCUACAACCUGUUGAUGAACAUUGUACAGAAGCUUCAAGAUGUCACCAGCCCUGCAGCUUUUGACCCUCUACUGGAGUCUACACUUCAGCCUCGCUGGAGAUGUUCUUCAGCAUCCAUCAUUUCUACCCGUACUUUCCAUGCACAACAUCUCCAUGUCUUGUGAACACGAUGAAACCAGCAAGACCAGAAAAAGUUGGUACAGACAAGAAAAGGGCAAAGGGCUCCUCCUUAUUGGAUACACAGACUAUGGAGAAAAAGCAUCGAUGGAGUCUAGGUUCAGUGAUGAAAGGAUACAGAUCCAACCCAAUGGCAGCCAGAGAUGUAACCUGACCAUCUCUAAGGCUUCUGCUGAAGAUAAUGCAGUUUAUUACUGUGCAAGCAGUGAACACAGCCAAAUAACCAUAUGAAGAAAGUGUAAAAAACUGAGACGCCCCCUCCAAAGACUCAAAGACAGUUUGGAGUGAGUAGGGAUGGGGAACAGCUGUGUGAGGGGCUCUUACUGCUCCUAUUACAGGUGUCAUCCAGUUAUAAGAGUCAACUAUUAAUAAGCAGUCAACAAAGUAUCAAAAAGUAACAUAAAACAUACAAAUGUAUAUACCAUUCACAGACAAAUGGAAGACUAAGAAAUGAACCGGACAGUUAACCAUAUUUUCUGGAUACCUUGUGGUACAUGGUGGAAAGGUAAAAUAUUACAAAAUUAAAUUGACCAUUUUUUUAAAGACUUUUUUUAAUCAAACAGGAAAAGUAAGUUGGUACAUACAGUCCAUACAUUAAAAUGUUUACAGCACAAACCAAACACAAGGUUACUUCCAUUUCAUAUACCUAAUCACAUGAAUCAUCCUUAAUUAUUUAAAAUUAUGCUUCAGACAUAAUGAAGUUUGGUUUUUAUUCUACUUUUUAUAUUUUCAUAGAUUUUUCUAAAACAUAAAAACCUGACAUAUUAGGGACAAUAGCAGGCAAGUAAUAGGCGCUGUCAAUGGACAGCCAUAGGUUGUAUGAUAGAAUUUAUUAUAAUUCUAAUUAGAGAUGAGCGAAUCGAAGCUGACGAAGUGGAAUUCGAUCUAAAAUUCAGGAAAAAUUUGAUUCGCACCGAAGCAGAAUUUCCUCACG